rnacentral:rRNA from 1 species
AUGCCUUACAAUGAGCGGUACACACCGUACAUCAAGCAGGCAGGACUACUCCCGUGGAUUCUGUUGGUCAGCCGGUCCACGCCGAAUCUAAACGCUCCACUGGUGUCUGCUCUUGUUGAUCGGUGGAGGCCGGAGAUGCACACUUUCCAUCUUCGGACUGGGGAGAUGACCGUGACGCUCGAGGUUGUCUCAUUGAUCACCAAUCUUGCUAUCGACGGCAGGCCUCUAUGUAUGAGCACCGAUUCUGAUGGGUGGUGCGAGCAGAUGAUUGCUCUUAUCGGUAUGGCUCCUACCGAGGUUGAGGCUGAUGUAGAGGAGGGAGAAGAGAAGAAGAAGAGGGAAAGGAAAGCAGCCGGAGCUGCUUUCACAUGGAUUCAAAAUAACUUUGCGACGUGCCCUCCGGAUGCCACUGAUGAUGUGAUCCAGACACAUGCUCGUGUGUAUAUGUGGUAUGUUGUGUCGAGGACUUUGUUUCCUUACUCCACUGGCAAGAACGCUCCAUGGAUGUGGCAGAAGGCGUUGACCGUCUUCGAUAGCAAAUGGAGCUGGGGUUCAGCGACUCUUGCCUACUUGUACCGACAGGUAGUUGGUCUGUUUUGUGAUCAACUCAUUUCUUCAUUAACAAUGCAAGCUUGCUGUCAAGUUAACAUUGUUUUUCUUUCAUAUGUAGCUGGACGAUGCGUCCUGCAGGAUCACAGAAAGUGCAGGCAUUGGUGGUAA